rnacentral:lncRNA from 1 species
GAUGGUUGAGUCAUGGUUUCUCAAUCACUCAUCACACAAAUCAGCUAUUUGCUUGCCAGAGAUAAGAGAGAUAGCGGCUAAAGUUUUCAAUCUCUGAUCUUGAAGAUGGAGAGUUCAUUUGGGGAAACAAAAGGGCCAAAACAAAGUUGCUACAUCAAUUGAAAAUUGUGCACUUUGGACUUGAAUUUCUUUUUUAAAAAGUCACAUCGGAGACAAGAUCAAUUUAAAAAGCCACAUCGGAGACAAGAUCAAUUUAAAAAGCCACGUAGAAUGAAUCGCCAGAAUAGGCACUUAGGUGAAUGAUUUUACACGAGUGUGGCACUCAAGUGAUUGAAAAAAGUUAUCACUCAAAUAAGCACCAUACAAAAAUUAUGGACU